CGCUAGCUCAACUGGCAGAGCAUCUGACUCUUAAUCAGAGGGUUCUGACGCCUCCUAGCGUUCGCCUAGGCGGAUCAUGUGCGUGACGAGCUCGCCCGCCUCGUCGCUGGCAUCGAGAUCCACCA
rnacentral:tRNA from 1 species